rnacentral:tRNA from 1 species
UCUAUUUUGGCAGAAUAAUUGUGUCAAAUUUAGAAUUUGAGUAUGAUUUUAUCAAAUAGAA